rnacentral:rRNA from 1 species
UGGGGAAUCUUAGACAAUGGGCGAAAGCCUGAUCUAGCGAUGCCGCGUGAGUGAUGAAGGUCUUAGGAUCGUAAAGCUCUUUCGCCAGGGAUGAUAAUGACAGUACCUGGUAAAGAAACCCCGGCUAACUCCGUGCCAGCAGCCGCGGUAAUACGGAGGGGGUUAGCGUUGUUCGGAAUUACUGGGCGUAAAGCGCGCGUAGGCGGACUAUUAAGUCAGGGGUGAAAUCCCGGGGCUCAACCCCGGAACUGCCUUUGAUACUGGUAGUCUUGAGUUCGAGAGAGGUGAGUGGAAUUCCGAGUGUAGAGGUGAAAUUCGUAGAUAUUCGGAAGAACACCAGUGGCGAAGGCGACUCGCUGGACAGGUAUUGACGCUGAGGUGCGAAAGCGUGGGGAGCAAACAGGAUUAGAUACCCCCGUAGUCC